rnacentral:rRNA from 1 species
UCUUAACUCUUUCCUCGUGCCUAAUACAUGCAAGUCGAGCGAACGGACGAGAAGCUUGCUUCUCUGAUGUUAGCGGCGGACGGGUGAGUAACACGUGGAUAACCUACCUAUAAGACUGGGAUAACUUCGGGAAACCGGAGCUAAUACCGGAUGAUAUUUUGAACCGCAUGGUUCAAAAGUGAAAGACGGUCUUGCUGUCACUUAUAGAUGGAUCCGCGCUGCAUUAGCUAGUUGGUAAGGUAACGGCUUACCAAGGCAACGAUGCAUAGCCGACCUGAGAGGGUGAUCGGCCACACUGGAACUGAGACACGGUCCAGACUCCUACGGGAGGCAGCAGUAGGGAAUCUUCCGCAAUGGGCGAAAGCCUGACGGAGCAACGCCGCGUGAGUGAUGAAGGUCUUCGGAUCGUAAAACUCUGUUAUUAGGGAAGAACAUAUGUGUAAGUAACUGUGCACAUCUUGACGGUACCUAAUCAGAAAGCCACGGCUAACUACGUG